UCCGAGUUGGCCCCGGCAGUCUCCUACGAGUCCCCGGCAUUACCCGCUGGCAACAUAGGACAAGGGUUGCGCUCGUUGCGGGACUUAACCCAACAUCUCACGACACGAGCUGACGACAGCCAUGCACCACCUGUAUACCGACAACAGGGGCUCUAUCUCUAGAGCUUUCCGGCAUAUGUCAAACCCAGGUAAGGUCCUUCGCGUUGCAUCGAAUUAAUCCGCAUGCUCCGCCGCUUGUGCGGGCCCCCGUCAAUUCCUUUGAGUUUCAGCCUUGCGGCCGUACUCCCCAGGCGGGGCACUUAUCGCGUUAGCUGCGGCACGGAAGGGGUCGAUCCCACCCGCGCCUAGUGCCCAUCGUUUACGGCGUGGACUAC
rnacentral:misc_RNA from 1 species